AGACCUGGGCCAGUAGGAAGGCCCACAGAGCAGGUCCAGUACGACCCAGCUGUGCAGUUCUGUAUCUGUCCCAGAUCUGACACCCAAAAGAUGAGUGUGUGAAGGAAAUAACUGAGUUCAGGGACAGGUGGGGGAGGUGGGGGGUUCAGGUGUGUUCAGGGACAUGUAGGGGGUUCAGGUGUGUUCAGGGACAGGUGGAGCGGUUAAGAGUGUUCAGGGCAGGUGGAGGGCUUCAGGUGUGUUCAGGGACAGGUGGGGGGGUUAAGAGUGUUCAGGGACAGGCGGGGGGUUAAG